CACAACAGAAUUUAACUUAGAAAACAGUAAGGUGAUGUUGCCUAAGUGUAGCUAAGUAACUUGUGGCCCAUUCAUUCAUCACUUAGGGUAAAAGAGGGAAGAUCUACUUGCCUAUUAUUAUUAUUAUUAUUAUUAUUAUUAUUAUUAUUAUUAUUAUUAUUAUUAUUAUUAAGUCAUGAAAGGUCAGCAAUUAUCUGCAGUUAGGCAGAGGUCAAGCCAUGGAAAAGCAUAAAAAACCUGAGUAAAGGCUGGCAAGAGAAGGAAAAGAAAAAAGAAAGAUGCAGGUCCUACAGUUUGCAGUCUCACAUUAUAACAUUGUUUUACAGCGAAGUAUCUCACAGGUAAUAGCUGUUAAAAGAGAAAAAAAGAGGCGAUUCCUACAGUUUUCAGUCUCAAAGUUGUAGCAUUAUUUUUUUACAGCACAGAACCUCUUGGGCAAAAGCUGAAAAAAGAAAUAGGCGAUUCCUACAGUUUUCAGUCUCAAAGUUGUAGCAUUAAUUUUUUUUUACAGCGAAACGUAAAAGCUGAAAAUAAAGGAAAAUAAAGAAAAAAGAUGCAAGUCCUAAAGUUUCCAGUCUCAAAUUUGUCAUUACCUAAUUCUAUUUUUAUUAAUACAGUGAAGCAUAUCAUUAUUCCCUGAUAUUUAAACCAAGUAGGCUAUCCUAGUGCUUAUAACUGAGCUUUCUUUCAUUUGUUAGCCUCGGUAAGAGAAAGAGGAAAAGAAGCAAGUCUAUACAGUUUUUAGUCUCAAAGUGAUCGUAUUUUCUUUAACAUUGAAGUAUCUCAUAAACCAAGUAUUCUUUUAAGUGUUUAUAAUAGAGCUUUCUUUCAUGUUAGCCUCGGAAAGAGCAAGAGGAACAGAAGCAAGUCUAUACAGUUUUUAGUCUCAAAGUGAUCGUAUUUUCUUUAACAUUGAAGUAUCUCAUAAACCAAGUAUUCUUUUAAGUGUUUAUAAUUGAGCUUUCUUUCAUGUUAGCCUCGGUAAGAUAAAGAGGAAAGAAAUGGUACAGUUUUUGGUCACAGUAUCGUAUCUCUCAGGGACAGAAAUUAUUAAGGGAAAGAAAAGAGAAGAAAAUUUAGUGAAGGUGAAUGGAAAAAAAGGUAAAAGAGAGAGAAAGGAGAGGGAAAACAGGGAGGGAGAGAAAAGAAAGCGUAGGCUCAGUGACAGAAUUCAAGGGAGAGAAAGGAGGAUAAUUUUCAGUUUGGCGCGCGCGGGGGAGUGAGAGGGCGGGGAAGUGCGCGGAGUGUUUUGUAAGCGAUGAAAACCUUUUAUUUCGUUGUGUUCCAGCGGUGGCCAGCACACUGUGAUUAGCCAAAAUUCGUCUCGCUACUGAGGGUCUGAAGGAAGGACUCACAGCUACACACACGGUAUGGCCCAAGGUACGUGAGUUUGACCCAUUCGUAAACUCCCAAAGUUGUUUCUCUAUUGUGGCUAACACUGUAAUCAUCGGUCUCUCUUUCUGAAUCUUGCAACUCAACCCCAGAUAGCAGGAAGGCCCGACUAGCAUACAGUGGUUUUGACUUAUUACUAAAUUCUCAAAAAUGUUUCCCCGUAUAGAAGCCAGCAUUGUCUGGAGGUUGCAAUUUAACCCCAAACAAAAGGAAGGGCCGUCAAGUGUACUGUCUCUAUACUGAAGCAGCUUUGAAAGUUUCUCCUUCCUUUCAUCCGUCCCAUAAAACGGUUUUCUGCAUUCGUUUUGGGGUGUCUUGCUCUCCAAAAGCCAAGAUAAUGUCUGCCGUGUUCCAAAUUCUCCUUUACUAGUGUACUGUCUCUAUACUGAAACAGCUUUGAAAGUUCCUCAUUGCUUUCAUCCGUCCCAUAAAACAGUUCUCGUACAUUUGUUUCUGAGUGUGUCUUGCUCUGUAAAAGUUAGGGAAAUAUCUGCCGUGUUCCAAGUUCUCCUUUACUAAGAGGUGUCAAUAUACUGUCUAUUCGGCAGCACGCUCUAAUGAGGUGUCUCUAUACUGAAUCAGCUUUGAAACUUCCUCAUUGCUUUCAUCCGUACCAUAAAAGUGUUUCUACAUUCAUUUCGUGUGUUUCCUGCUCUGUAAAAUGCAAGGAAAUAUCAGCUGUGUUCCAAGUUCUCCUUUACUAAGAGAUGUCGGGUCUUACCAACUCAAAAACCAACGGCAACUUUCGCCUACGUUGCAUUCCACGUUAUUUACUUCCAGCGUUUUUUUUUAUU